rnacentral:rRNA from 1 species
AGUCACUGACAUUAGAUACCCGUGUAGUCCAGGGUGUAAACGCUGCAGACUUUGGUGUUGGAAGCCCUUUGGGGGCAUUCAGUGCCGGAGAGAGGUUGUUAAGUCUGCUACUUGGGGAGUACGUCCGCAAGGAUGAAACUUAAAGGAAUUGGCGGGGAGCACCGCAACGGGAGGAGCGUGCGGUUUAAUUGGAUUCAACACCGUAAACUCACCAGGGAAGACUGUUACAUGAAGGCCGAGAUGAAGACUCUGCUAGAUUUUCAG